GAUGAACGCUAGCGGCAGGCUUAACACAUGCAAGUCGAGGGGUAGAAGUCUUCGGACUUUGAGACCGGCGCACGGGUGCGUAACGCGUAUGCAAUCUGCCUUGUACAAAGGGAUAGCCCAGAGAAAUUUGGAUUAAUACCUUAUAGUAUAUAGAUGUGGCAUCACAAUUAUAUUAAAGAUUUAUCGGUACAAGAUGAGCAUGCGUCCCAUUAGCUAGUUGGUAUGGUAACGGCAUACCAAGGCAAUGAUGGGUAGGGGUCCUGAGAGGGAGAUCCCCCACACUGGUACUGAGACACGGACCAGACUCCUACGGGAGGCAGCGGUGAGGAAUAUUGGUCAAUGGGCGCAAGCCUGAACCAGCCAUGCCGCGUGCAGGAUGAAGCAUCUAUGGUGUGUAAGCUGCUUUUGUACGGGAAGAAACACCUCUUCGUGAAGAGGCUUGACGGUACCGUAAGAAUAAGGAUCGGCUAACUCCGUGCCAGCCGCCGCAGUAA
rnacentral:rRNA from 1 species